GGCCUAAUGGUCUAGUCGUAUGAUUCCUGCUUUGGGUACCCGUCAAUAAACCCAUGGAAUACUUGAAUGCAGGAGGUCCUGGGUUCAAUUCCCAGUUAGGCCC